rnacentral:pre_miRNA from 1 species
GGCUGUGAAUUGGCUUAAUCUCAGCUGGCAACUGUGAGCAGUUAAUAACUCUCCCACAGUGGUAUCUGGGAUUAUGCUAAACACAGCA